rnacentral:rRNA from 1 species
UACGAGGAGGCCUAGCGUUGUCCGGAAUUAUUGGGCGUAAAGAGCUCGUAGGCGGUUUGUCGCGUCUGCUGUGAAAUCCCGAGGCUCAACCUCGGGUCUGCAGUGGGUACGGGCAGACUGGAGUGCGGUAGGGGAGAAUGGAAUUCCUGGUGUAGCGGUGGAAUGCGCAGAUAUCAGGAGGAACACCGGUGGCGAAGGCGGGUCUCUGGGCAGUAACUGACGCUGAGGAGCGAAAGCGUGGGGGAGCGAACAGG